UAAGGGAAUCUUCUUCAACGAGAUACCUAAAGGCGCACAACAUGUCCUAAAGCACAAGGGGGGUAGAAACCUCUCUUACUUGGAUCAAUAGUUCUGCAGAAACAUCGUGGAGAAGGUACUUCAAUUUCUGCAAGUCGUGGAUUGUCUCGUAGUUCAUAUAUUUGCUUCAUUGUCUUUAGAGAAGUCAACACUUAAUCCACAUGUCAGGGUGAACUAUAGGAUUGGAAAAUUUGAUGCAUGCCAUUCAUAAUAUAGCGUCAUCUUGUCACAUGGUGCGUUAGAUUUGCAUGCUUAAUUUGUCUUUUGCUAUCUUUCUUACUUGUCUUCAUAUUCUUUCAGGAACUCAAAUUGAAUGCACGUGCUAAGAGCUUCGUCCCAUUUCAGACGCUUAGGUCAUCUUAUGUUGUAAAUAAUUCCUUCAAGCUCUUCUGGUGGGAGAUUUCCACUAAAAGCUAGAAAUUUCAAGGAAAUUAUGUUUUAGUUGUAGCUUAUAAUUACUUGAUUAUUACUUUGUUACUCCUAUUAGUUACUUGUACCAGCCACCAGGCACUUCGACUUUUUAAUAUUAAAUCAUUU
rnacentral:lncRNA from 1 species